UGUGGUUAAUUCGAAGCAACGCGAAGAACUUACCAGGCCUUGACAUGCAGAGAACUUUCCAGAGAUGGAUUGGUGCCUUCGGGAACUCUGACACAGGUGCUGCAUGGCUGUCGUCAGCUCGUGCCGUGAGAUGUUGGGUUAAGUCCCGUAACGAGCGCAACCCUUGUCCUUAGUUACCAGCACGUUAUGGUGGGCACUCUAAGGAGACUGCCGGUGGACAAACCGGAGGAAGUGGGGAUGACGUCAAGUCAUCAUGGCCCUUACGGCCUGGGCUACACACGUGCUACAAUGGUCGGUACAAAGGGUUGCCAAGCCGCGAGGUGGAGCUAAUCCCAUAAAACCGAUCGUAGUCCGGAUCGCAGUCUGCAACUCGACUGCGUGAAGUCGGAAUCGCUAGUAAUCGUGAAUCAGAAUGUCACGGUGAAUACGUUCCCGGGCCUU
rnacentral:rRNA from 1 species